AUUGAACGCUGGCGGCAGGCCUAACACAUGCAAGUCGAACGAGUGGCGGACGGGUGAGUAAUGUCUGGGAAACUGCGUGAUGGAGGGGGAUAACUACUGGAAAAGGUAGCUAAUACCGCAUACCAUCAGAUGUGGCCAGAUUGGAUUAGAUAGUUGGUGGGGUACAGGCUCCACAAGGCGACGAUCCCUAGCUGGUCUGAGAGGGUGACCAGCCACACUGGAACUGAGACACGGUCCAGACUCCUACGGGAGGCAGCAGUAGGGAAUAUUGCACAAUGGGCGCAAGCCUGAUGCAGCCAUGCCGCGUGUAUGAAGAAGGCCUUCGGGUUGUAAAGUACUUUCAGCGGGGAGGCGUUACCCACAGAAGAAGCACCGGCUAACUCCGUGCCAGCAGCCGCGGUAAUUC
rnacentral:rRNA from 1 species